rnacentral:rRNA from 1 species
UGGCGGACGGGUGAGUAACGCGUGGGUAACCUGCCUCAUACAGGGGGAUAACAGUUAGAAAUGGCUGCUAAUACCGCAUAAGACCACGGUACUGCAUGGUACAGUGGUAAAAACUCCGGUGGUAUGAGAUGGCCCCGCGUCUGAUUAGGUAGUUGGUGAGGUAACGGCCCACCAAGCCGACGAUCAGUAGCCGACCUGAGAGGGUGACCGGCCACAUUGGGACUGAGACACGGCCCAG